rnacentral:lncRNA from 1 species
UUGUUGCAUGCUGUGAGUGCAAGGGGCUUCUUUGACAGUGUUGGUUUAAAUGCAAAGGCAUGGUGCAAAAUCUAGUCCAUGUCCAUCAUUCAGCAGUCCUGUUUUUCCCUUUCAGACUCCUCCCAGCAUGACGCAUUAGAAGCUAUUGAGAAACCUGAGGUUGAAGUCACCAUUGAAGAUGAUGAUGACUAUGUGGUCCCUGACAAGAGAUUGCAGAGCAGCAAGUCAGCUAAUGAAGCUGCCAGUACUGGGAAAAGAAAAGCAAACGAGCUCCAUUCAGAUUCUUCCCAGCAUGACUCAUCAGAAACAAGUGAGGAUUCUGAGGCUGAAGUGUCUAGUGAAGAUGAUGAUGAUGAUGAUGAGUACCUGCCCCCUAGCAAGAGACCGAGGAGCAGCAGCAGACGGCGGUUGACUAAUGACACUCCCAGUAGUGGUAGAAGAAGAGCAAAGACGUUCAAUCGCAGUAAGAUGAACAUUAAAGAUGAUUUCAUCUCCUUGCUUUGUUUUAUGAAAAGGUUUUGGGUAAUUUUGUGCUGUAGCAGUGAUACAUGUUACUAUAAGCCUUCAUUUGAAAGCCAUGGGCUCUUUGUGGAAGUAUUGCUGCAUCAUCAUAGUCUGUGUUGCUUUUUGUUAUGUGACUUGACAACAUAAAUACACGCACAUGAUGUUGGGAUCUUCUGGUUGUGUUCUUUCCUGAUCCAUUGUAUUGGUUUUUUCACAGAAAAGCAUCUGUGCACUUCAGUUUACUCUGGUUAGAGAUGCUUUUCCUGGGAUUUUUUUGUGGUUCUGUACCUCUCCUUUAUUCUGUGCU